UGCUUACCAGGCUCUCCGCGCCGUCCGGGCUUCCCUCGCCUCCCCGGAGGGCCUCAGAGCCACGGCCUGGCCUCCUGGAAACCUCCGGACUUGAGCUCCAGCUGAGCCACCGACGGAAAGCCCCAGGGGAGCUCAGCGGGUGAAUAUGAGACCUCUCAGCACCACAGCGAGCUCGAGCUUUGCAGGAAGGGGAGGGAGAAGCCCUCAAACACACCUGGGAUGAAGGUGGUUCAUGGGGAGCAGCAGC